rnacentral:rRNA from 1 species
GUCUACGGCCAUGCCACCCUGAACAAGCCCCAUCCCGUCUGAUCUCAUAAGCUAAGCAGGGUUGGGCCUGGUUAGUACUUGGAUGGGAGACCAUCCAGGAAGACCAGGUGCUGUAGGCA